AGUGGUGUCAGGUGGUCCUGGGAGAGGCAAAGGGAAGAAGCAGACUGUAGGCGAGCAUUGGGGAUUGAAGAGAGGGGAGUUCCACACUCCGGGGAGGGCACGGAGGCCAAGAAGCAAAGGUUACACAGCAUUAGGACGGACACAGCCACUGGAUUUUCAGCCGAUGAAGCUCUAGGAAGUUCAAACACCAUUGUGUCCUGCUCCCGGACUGGUGACUUGGAGAGAGCUCUAACAGGGCAGGAUGGCCCAGGAUCUCAGUGAGAAGGAGCUGCUGAGGAUGGAGGUGGAGCAGUUGAAGAAGGAAGUAAAGAACCCACGUGAUCCGAUUUCCAAGACAGGAAAGGAAAUCAAGGAUUAUGUAGAGGCCCAAUCAGGGACCGACCCUCUUCUGAAAGGCAUCCCAGAAGACAAGAAUCCCUUCAAGGAGAAAGGCACUUGUGUGAUAAGCUGAUGGCCUACCCUCAAGACCCUCACCCUUUCUCUGUCCCUCCUCAGUCUCACCAGUGUACUGGGAUACCUAGGGAUACCAAGUGUAUUAGGGAUCAAUGUUUACUUCCUCUUAGACAAAAGUAAAGAUGCUGAGAGAAAAACAACA
rnacentral:lncRNA from 1 species